rnacentral:lncRNA from 1 species
UCGUCAAACUUGGCUGACAGAAUCCCCAGACAAUAAACUGUAUCCAUUUCAAUUGAUGAAUAAAGUCAAGGUUCCCUCAAAAAACAAAAGCAGAUGUGUCGCUGUUCUUCAUCACCAGGGAUGAAUUAUCUCUAGACAUGAAGUCUUGAUCCUUGUCCUGAGGGAGAGCAGUAUACCCUGUAUUGCGUCUCAGAACCUGCUGGUGAGCAUUAGGGACAUUACAACUCCUAGUUGAUCCCAUGCAACCUGCUUAAGAAAUUUAAUAAUUGCUGAAAUUCAACCUUUCCAACACAGCUCUAUCACCAUAUCGAAGAUAGCUGGAGAAUUAAAUUAUGUUAUCAAACCUCACCGCCACAACCUAUGCUCAGUGGCAAAAGGCACACAGGCUUACUGCAAAGGAAAGAACACAGUGCUUGACUAGGAAAAAAAAAGAGAAAACAGUUCUCGGGAUUGAAUGCCACAACUCUUACGACUGGGUGCGAC